GAUGAACGCUGGCGGCGUGCCUAAUACAUGCAAGUCGAGCGAACGGACGAGAAGCUUGCUUCUCUGAUGUUAGCGGCGGACGGGUGAGUAACACGUGGAUAACCUACCUAUAAGACUGGGAUAACUUCGGGAAACCGGAGCUAAUACCGGAUAAUAUUUUGAACCGCAUGGUUCAAAAGUGAAAGACGGUCUUGCUGUCACUUAUAGAUGGAUCCGCGCUGCAUUAGCUAGUUGGUAAGGUAACGGCUUACCAAGGCAACGAUGCAUAGCCGACCUGAGAGGGUGAUCGGCCACACUGGAACUGAGACACGGGCAAGACUCCUACGGGAGGCAGCAGUAGGGAAUCUUCCGCAAUGGGCGAAAGCCUGACGGAGCAACGCCGCGUGAGUGAUGAAGGUCUUCGGAUCGUAAAACUCUGUUAUUAGGGAAGAACAUAUGUGUAAGUAACUGUGCACAUCUUGACGGUACCUAAUCAGAAAGCCACGGCUAACUACGUG
rnacentral:rRNA from 1 species